rnacentral:misc_RNA from 1 species
GAUGAAGAACGUAGCGAAAUGCGAUAAGUAAUGUGAAUUGCAGAAUUCAGUGAAUCAUCGAAUCUUUGAACGCACAUUGCGCCCGCUAGUAUUCUGGCGGGCAUGCCUGUCCGAGCGUCAUUUCAACCCUCAAGCCCCGGGCUUGGUGUUGGGGAUCGGCGAGCCUCCGCGCCCGCCGUCCCCUAAAUCUAGUGGCGGUCUCGCUGUAGCUUCCUCUGCGUAGUAGCACACCUCGCACUGGGAAACAGCGCGGCCACGCCGUUAAACCCCCAACUUCUGAACGUUUGACCUCGGAUCAGGUAGGAAUACCCGCUGAACUUAAGCAUAUCAAUAAGCGGAGGA